CGGCGAAACACCCACCGUGGGUGUCGUCGGGAGUUGGUCGUCCCGGCUGUUGACGAGCUGACCAGA
rnacentral:hammerhead_ribozyme from 1 species